GACGAAUGCUGGCUGCGUGCUUAACACAUGCAAGUCGAACGGUGAUCAGGGGCUUGCCCCUGGGAUCAGUGGCGAACGGGUGAGUAACACGUGGGCAACCUGCCCCUCACUCUGGGAUAACUCCGGGAAACCGGGGCUAAUACCGGAUACGACCGGGCCCGACAUCGGGCCUGGUGGAAAGAACUUCGGUGAGGGAUGGGCCCGCGGCCUAUCAGCUUGUUGGUGAGGUAACGGCUCACCAAGGCGACGACGGGUAGCCGGCCUGGGAGGGCGACCGGCCGCACUGGGACUGAGACACGGCCCAGACUCCUACGGGAGGCAGCAGUGGGGAAUAUUGCUCAAUGGGCGAAAGCCUGACGCAGCGACGCAGCGUGAGGGACGAAGGUCUUCGGGUUGUAAACCUCUUUCAGCGGGGACGAAGCGAAAGUGACGGUACCCGCAGAAGAAGCACCGGCUAACUACGUGCCAGCCGCCGCGGUAACAC
rnacentral:rRNA from 1 species